GCCAGUUGAUGGGAGAUUGACAAAGAAUUGCUGGAAAUUUCAGAAGAACCAACAGCCAGGGGGAUACCAUCACUAUUGAUAGUGCAGGACUGAGGAUUAGAUCCAUCUGCAUUCAUCAUCAUAGCUCGUAAAACUGCAGAAACUGUGUGAAUGUAAGCUGUUCGAUUCUUUGCGAGCAGCCAUGUGAGACCCAUCAACUGGCAAUCUUUGUUGUGCAUUUUGGUGGUCCUGUCCUCUGAUUUGCUUGAGUUCAAAGUCUUCUUGUUGUUAAGCGAAUAGAGGCUGGUUUAGCAC
rnacentral:misc_RNA from 1 species